GACGUAGGAUGCAAGCGUUGUCCGGAUUUAUUGGCGUAAAGAGUUCGUAGGUGGUUUGUUAAGUCUGAUGUAAAAGACUGGGGCUCAACCUCGGGACUGCAUUGGAUACUGGCAGACUUGAGUGCGGUAGAGGCAAGUGGAAAUUCCGAGGUGUAGCGGUGAAAUGCGUAGAUAUCUGGAAGAACACCGGUGGCGCAAGCGACCUUGCUGGGCCGUAACGUGAACCACU
rnacentral:rRNA from 1 species